GGGAUUGUAGCUCAGUGGCACAGCAUCUGCCUGGGAAGCAUAAGAACCUGAGGUCCAUCCUCAGUACCA
rnacentral:tRNA from 1 species